UACGUAGGGACCAAGCGUUGUCCGGAAUCAUUGGGCGUAAAGAGCGUGUAGGCGGCUUGUUAAGUCUUGCGUGAAAUCUCGGGGCUCAACCCCGAGCGGUCGUGAGAAACUGGCAGGCUAGAGUGCGGGAGAGGAGAGUGGAAUUCCUGGUGUAGCGGUGAAAUGCGCAGAUAUCAGGAGGAACACCAAUAGCGAAGGCAGCUCGCUGGGACGGUACUGACGCUAAGGCGCGAAAGCGUGGGGAGCGAACAGG
rnacentral:rRNA from 1 species